rnacentral:rRNA from 1 species
UGCGUAGGCGGUUCUUUGUGUCCGCUGUGAAAGCCCCGGGCUUAACCUGGGAACUGCAGUGGAAACUAGAGGACUCAGAAUCUGGCAGAGGGGGUGGAAUGCCACGUGUAGCAGUGAAAUGCGUAGAGAUGUGGCGGAACACCGAUGGCGAAGGCAGCCCCCUGGGCUGAGAUUGACGCUCAGGCACGAAAGCGUGGGGAGCAAACAGGAUUAGAUACCCUGGUAGUCCACGCCCUAAACGAUGAUCACUAGGUGUUGGGGAAGCGAUUUCCUAGUACCGCAGCUAACGCGUGAAGUGAUCCGCCUGGGGAGUACGGUCGCAAGAUUAAA